rnacentral:rRNA from 1 species
AGUGAACGCUGGCGGUAGGCCUAACACAUGCAAGUCGAACGGCAGCACAGUAAGAGCUUGCUCUUACGGGUAGCGAGUGGCGGACGGGUGAGGAAUACAUCGGAAUCUACUUUUUCGUGGGGGAUAACGUAGGGAAACUUACGCUAAUACCGCAUACGACCUACGGGUGAAAGCAGGGGAUCUUCGGACCUUGCGCGAUUGAAUGAGCCGAUGUCGGAUUAGCUAGUUGGCGGGGUAAAGGCCCACCAAGGCGACGAUCCGUAGCUGGUCUGAGAGGAUGUUCAGCCACACUGGAACUGAGACACGGUCCAGACUCCUACGGGAGGCAGCAGUGGGGAAUAUUGGACAAAGGGCGCAAGCCUGAUCCAGCCAUACCGCGUGGGUGAAGAAGGCCUUCGGGUUGUAAAGCCCUUUUGUUGGGAAAGAAAAGCAGCAGGUUAAUACCCCGCUGUUCUGACGGUACCCAAAGAAUAAGCACCGGCUAACUUCGUG